GAUGAACGCUAGCGGCAGGCCUAAUACAUGCAAGUCGAACGGUGUCUUCGGACAUAGUGGCGCACGGGUGCGUAACACGUAUGCAACCUACCUUACAUUGGGGGAUAGCCUUUCGAAAGGGAGAUUAAUACCGCAUAAGACAGUAGCUGGGCAUCCAGCAGCUGUUAAAGAUUUAUCGAUGUAAGCUGGGCAUGCGUCCAAUUAGCUAGUUGGUGAGGUAACGGCUCACCAAGGCAAUGAUUGGUAGGGGAACUGAGGGGUCCAUCCCCCACCCUGGGCAUGGGAUACGGGGCAAGAUCCUACCGGGGGGAGGAGUAGGGAAAAAUGGGCAAUGGACGGCAGUCUUACCCAGCCAUGCCGCGUGCAGGAUGAAGGCGUUAUGCGUUGUAAACUGCUUUUAUACAGGAAGAAACGACUCUUGCGAGAGGCAUUGACGGUACUGUAUGAAUAAGCACCGGCUAACUUCGUGCCAGCAGCCGCGGUAAAAC
rnacentral:rRNA from 1 species